rnacentral:lncRNA from 1 species
CCCUGAUAAAUCACAGCGAGCCUCCUAGUGACUCUGUUCUGCUCCAACGUGAGUGCGCUUAUGAAACGGGUUCCUUCCUCUCCCCUGGGAUGCAGCCACCAGGACACCAAGACCUCUGCUCGGAGACAGAGACUCAUAGGGGCGUGUUGGUAGCUGAAGCCUGGAGGAGAACUCAAGAAAACCCUUGCAAAAUGAGGAUCACAUUAGAAGUCCUGGACAGUCAACAAGCCACCAGAGGAGGCACGCUGGUGACAAAGAUGUUCUUUCUCCAGCCUGCUUGACAACCUCCAGCCCAAGGACUCCCGGGAGCUGGGGUGGCCCCCUUCCCAAAGGACAUCUCUAGUCUACUUCAACUUAUCUAGGACCUCAAUAUCCCCACCCGCUCCUGCUUGCUAAUUUCUGCAUGACUCCACGGUGGACACAAACCACAGCACUCGAGCAGAGAACAAUGAAGCCCUGAGAAGACCAGUGGGGUAGCUGGGAAAAGUCUUAAAGACCUACAAAACCAAAUGGUGGAAAUCUCUCAAGAGAGGCUUUUGGGUCAAGUGUAAAGUUCCUGGACCAACGUGCCUGCAGGGAGGGGACACCAGCUUACCUGCAGAAGGUCACCGGGACUUCCAUUCCCCUUUGGGGGCCAGGAGAUGGUCUGUUUGCUUCAACAGAUUCAUAAAGAAUCUUGUCCUCUUGGCUGUCCCUGAGAAGGAGCAAGGUCAUUGCAAGCUCUUGGUUCUUCCCUCUCUUUUGGGCAGAUAAGCCACAUCCCUGUCAGGUCUACUAUGGAAAGAGGAUGGAUUCUUGCUUUGCACUAAAAAUUCCAUGCGACCCCAAAGCAGGGCUGACUUCAGAGGAGACCCAGGCUGCAGCCAGCCUGGCAGGGCCUGCACACAUCUCUGUGCUCCUGGAGAGGCCCCCGGCCUGCGGCCAUGUGGACCCUGAGCCUCUCUCUGGGCAGCUCAACUGCUAGGUCCCUGCUUGGCUCCCAGGUCAGAAUGUUCCCGAGCAGCUGCCCCAGGACACAAAUAACAGCUCCAGGAAGCAGAGCUCAGAGACAGCAGGGCUCAGCCUCUAGGACUCCUGGGUCUUAGGGUCAGAGUGGCCUGGAGCUUUGGGUGGGCAACCAGGGGCUCAGGAUGGGAAUCGGCACCCCUGGGACUAAUGGGGCCCUGGAGCCGGGGUCACCAGCCUGAUGGCCGGGCUUCUGACGUGCUCCUGUGCCCCUGGCUGGCUCCCUUUGUGAAUGCCACUGCUGCUGCAGGCCAGCUGGGGCCACCAACCACUGAUGAGGAUGGGCCCCUCCAGAGGGUCUCUAAUUUCCACAGCAGUGAGUGGGUGCAGCCCGCUUCCAGUAGGUGCUCAAGAAAAGCCCAUCAUUCACUCAUUCAACAAACAUUUGCUGAAAACCUUCCGUGCUCCAAGUCACGGCAGAUGCCUGUUUGGCAGUCCUAAGGGGAGCUGCUCUGAGGCUAAACGGGCUUGGCAAGAAAGACUUCAGGAAAGAGAUGGUUAGGACCAGGUUUCUGGAGAUAAAGGAAGAGGAAGGAGUGAGGGCAGAAGCUGAAACGAGCAGCAUGAGAAUGUGCACCGCUCCCAGGGGGGCUGCCCUGAGGGGCGGGUGGGUGUGGGCAGCAGAUGAGGUUGGAACGCGACGAGGAAGGCGAGUUCUAUCUUGAUUGUGGAUGGGGGUCUCUGGAGGGUAGAGAGGGCAGGCUGGAGGGACAGGAUGGAGUGCUGGAGACCCAUGGGAGGUUUUACAGCAGUCCAGAGGAGACCGGGCGAGGACCUUGGCCAGCACGGUGGCCGAGCAGACGCAGUGACAGGAUGGACAGUGGAGAGGUUUAACAACAGAAUGGACAGACCUAGAGUAGUCACUGGCUGUGGGGGGUAAGGAGCAGGAGGAGUCAGGGACAUGCGGAUGGGAACAUGGGGGUUGGGAUGGGGGCUCCACAUCAGGAAACCCAGGGGGAGGCUGAGAUGUGAAGAGUCACGUGGGGGAAGAAGUGAGUCUGAAGUGCUGUGGACGCCCAAGGCUCUGCCCAGGAAGCAGCUGUCAUGUGGCUCAGGAGCACAGAGAGGGCUGGCCUGGGACGGGACAGGACACAGGAGCCUGCGGACUGUGUCCUGGCUCUUUCCUUGUCCUGUUUAGUCUGCAGGGCAGCCGGAGAGAUACAGCUAAAUUGCCCCAAGGGCACCGGCCUCUUGUCUGUUCCUCACCCCUCCCUCAGGGCCGUUGCUCCUUUUCACCCCUGGCCUCAACAUGCUUGUCCAGAUACCCACAUGGCUGCCCCUCACCUUGCCAGGUCUUUGCUCAGAGUCCCCUGAGUGUGCUGUUUAAAGUCGCAGCGCUCCCCACCUUCCGGCCUGGCGCUCUCGGACUUCUUUUCCUGCUUUAUUUCUCAGACUUCUUUUCCUGCUUUAUUUCUCAGGGGGGUCGUUGGGCCAUCUGAGAUUUCCUGACUUAUUUUGUCAUCGGCUUUCACCCAUUAGCAUGUGAGCUCCCAGCGGCAGGGACGUCUGUGGCGAUCAGGGCCUCUCACUUCAGCACAGGCACACGGUAGAUCCUAAAUAAACACUUAUCUAUGGAGUGAAUGAAUGCAUGGAUGUGGGCCUCUGGCUGCCAUCGCUGCUGAAUAAACGACCACUUGAUCUGCUGCUGACUCACGGCGCACUCUCCCUGCCUUGCUUGGGUCCUGGGCCAUGUAGGGGAUUGGGUUCCAGAAGGGGAGCUAGGGACCCUGGUUCUAGGUGGCCUGGACUUCAGAAGCUGCCCCUGAAGUUCGGGGAUGGAUCCGCAGCCUCUGUGUGUGGGUGGGGAUUUUAGCAUGCACUGGGCCAUGCUCAGGACCUCGCACAGGUCUGGAGGGGAACCAGGGCCUCGGCAUGGCGUCUGUGGCCUGAAAGGAAUAAAUCCAUCCUUGCUUCAAAGGCUCCCAGAGUGUUCAGGUCUUCCACGUCAACCCACAUACUUUGGCAGGGGCAGAUGCAAAAACAAAACCUACAGGAAACAAUCUGGGGAGAGCAGGAGGUGGAGCGUGAAAUGGACAAAACAUAUAGGUCUGAGCUGGAACAAACAGCAGGGAGAAGGACCUGCCCGACCGAGGGCCUUCGAGAAAACCAGAAGCUAGAACUCUGCUUGGGCAGAGGCAAAAAAACUUCAGAAUGUGUGCUUCUUUCAAAGCUGCAUCCCUCCCUGGUCCCAGGGCAGAGAGAGUAUCAGAGGAAUACAACAGAAGAAAAGCGGGCAAGGGGCAGGAGCGGGCUUGGGGCCAGGAAGCCCAGCCAUGCAGUUGGCUCUUCCAUAGAUGCUGUGUGACCUUGAACGUCUCCCUUCCCUCUCUAGGCCUCUGCUUUUGUCUGUAAAGUGAGGUGUCUGAACACUGGGCCUUCCAGCACAGCUGGCUGCUCCAUUUCCUGGUCUUUAGGCAGCCUCCCUUUGGAAGGGCUGGCUGGGCUCUCCCAGGAUGCCAGCUGCAUGCCUUUGCAAGUUAUCACAAUAUGGCAGGACCCAGAAUAGACGUUGACAGUUGUUCAGUGCACAGCUUGUACAGCUGUACAUGGCAGCCUCACCUGCCCUGUGCUUACAGAACUAGCACCCCCUUUAAAGGUCACUGAGUCCCAAAUUUGGGAAGGCUCCUGAGAGAAUUGUUCUGAGUAACCAGAGUGCUGGAUUUAGCUUCUGGACCAUGUAACAUCCAGAUGGCUGCUGAGUUGGACUGUUUGCUCAACUCAGAUUUUCCUCUGAGGCAGAGAGGAAAAGCCUACUUCUCUGCAGGUCCCAAAUGGGCUUUCUGUCUGCUGACCCUUGUGUUCUAGCCAACAGGGGUGGCAGGAGAUCUUCUCUGGGGUCCUGGGGCCAAGGCCGCUCAACUUGGCUCCCACUGAAAAGGCAACCUGCAAAUGACUUUGCCACGUUUCACAUCUCCACAGCAGUGUGGAGUGGAGCUAAACCGAGGUGGGUGGGUGGCGGGAUUCCGGGAUAACCCUGGUCCCCAAGGCCACAGCUCCAAGGGUGCCCCACAGGCCCAGGGCCGCCUCCACCUGGACACACCCAGGCCGCCCUAUUAAUAGACCAGCUGCCAGCGCACUGCCUUCUUCGGAGUUUCCAUUUCAUGUGCUCUAGAUCUGGCUGUCCCAGUGGGGACAGCUUCCUUGCAAAACAAACAGCAAAAUCAAUAUUUCCUUCACCAGGGGAAGUGUAGGCAGGCCAGGCCUUUCUCCAUUCCUGCAGGCAAGGCACAAGCCCAGGAACGGGGCGCAAAGGCCGCCUGGCUCAUUUCUGCCUCAAUUCAGCCAUUUGAUUAUAUUAAAUUCACAGACAUUUAUUGAGCAACUUCAACAUAUCAAACCCCAGUGGGCGGGUGGAGAGAAGAAUGAAUAAGACGCAUCCUGGGGCUCGAGGAACACACGUGUAACCAGGAGACAAACACAUAAACCAAGAGCUAUGGUGUGACGCGUGAGUGAGGCAGUGAGGAUGUGGCCGGGAGGCCCGGUGUCUGAAAUCAUCAAUCUUUGGGUACGGCUGGUGUCUGAGAGUGUGGAGAUUGCCUCCUGGUGCCUCUCUCUCGGCAGGCUUAACCGGAGAGCUCUGGGUGAGACUUGUCUUCCGGGGGCUGGUGGGUGCUCCAAGCCAGGCCCGGCACAAUUUCACUCUGCCUCUUCUCUGUGGCCUCCAGUCCACCUGCCGGUACAGCCUAGAACAACCCUGGCCUCAAAUCUCAGUGCAUAAAAAGUCCCGAGGGAGAUUGUUAAAAAUGCAAAUAUAGGCCACAGCCCUAGAGACUCAGAAUCAAUAAACUUUGGUUAGGGGAGAGGCAAUGUCUGGGAAUCUGCCUGUUCUAUAAGCAGGAGGCCUCAGACCACAGUCUAAGAAGCACCACACUGGAUCUGGGCUCCUUGGGGCAGGGGCCAGGGAGAGAAGCCCAGAGGUACCACUGCUGUGGUGUGGAGAAAACCCCAUGGAAGGGAAACAGACUUGCCUGUGGCUGAAGCAUGUGUCUCCAGGGCCCAGGCGGGCAAGGGGAGGCCUGGGAGGCUGAAGGUGGGUGGGGAGCAGCCCUCGGAGCUCUGACUUAGCUGCUGUUGAGAGUGGGCAACCUGAAACUGGUGAGGGGUGCUGAGGCCUGCUCCCAAGUGGGCAGGUGCACCUUCCCACUGGGCCAAGGGAGAGUCCUGGCCAUACCAACUCAGCCUCUCUCCUGGGGCCCACUCGAUGUUCAGCUUCAUGCCGGGCUGGGUGGCAGGGAGGCCAGGAGGAGGAGCAGGCACUGGCACCACCCCAGGGGUGUGUGCAGGGUUGUCAGGCUACUCACAGGGCAGGGGCAAGCCCAAAGUGCAUGGCGGGGACCAGGUCAUCCAGAAUUGUCAGAGGUUACAGAGAAGGAUGAGGGAGGUGAGGGCCGUGGAUGGGAUCUGAGGACAGCAGAGGGCAGGUGAGAGGACUUUUUAGAAAUAAACGCGACAGAUGAACAGGCUGGAAGACACAUGAGAAAAAUUGUUACAACGAGGCCAGCACACAAGGCCAUUCCUUCCCUAGCCUCUAAAUUAUUAGUCCAUAACAAUAAAACACUUUCCCUGCCCAUGCGUCAGGAUUCUUGGAGGAGCAAGAAUGAGAAGGACCACACGGACUUUAGACCCCAGACACGGAACCGCUUAGCAGGCAUGUUUUAGGAUAAUAAAGGAAUCUAAUGGAGAAGUGGUGCUUCCUUCCCCCAGAGCUCCGAUUAGGCUCUGGAAUAUGGGUGACACGUACGCCGUGGAGGACACAGCGCAGUUAGAAUUCUGCCAGCAAACAUUCUCAAAUAUUCAUGAAACAUGGGACCAGGCCUGACUGUUAACACUGCAACUGGUUCCCUCCAAUGGAGUGACAAAUGGGCGCCAAGCACUGUCAUCUGUCCCUUUGAUCUUUCCAGCUCCUGCCAGGCAGUGGAGGGGGGACUCGGGUAGCCCGGGGGAGGCUGGGCUCUCCUGGUGGCUUAUAUUUCCAUGUACGAGGGCUUGAGAACAGCAAAUUUCCUCUGACUCUAAGGCAAAAUCAUUGAUUCUCCAAGUCUUACUCCAUCAAAAGUGAUUAGUGGGGGGCCCUGAGGAUUCCACUCCACCACGCUCACCUCCUUUAUGAAAGGAGCAUUGUUAUAUACACAAAUAUCAACGAACAGCACCGGCAAAAAGCAAAAUGUCCAA